UGACUGCAAAGUAGCUAUGCCACCAGUUUCAGCAGAAACAACAUUUGGUCUUCAAAACACAAAGCGACACUUCCCUUAAUGUGUGUUGUAGUGGAAACUCCUUGCAGAUCAGAAAUACUGGACUUUUUGACAAGUGAUCUAAAAGACUUCAUUGAAGAGAAUAUUCACUAGACAUAAUUAUUGCUCUCAUUAUUGCUGCUGGACUAAAUCAAAGGACCUGGAUUGUCAGGACAUUAUUGCUCAGAGAAGCUCUGGGUGGAGGAAUUCCAAGGGCUUCAUCUGGGUGCUUCUAAUACCUGCAAAAAGCUGUAAUUCCAACAACAGUGUACAAAGAUAAUAAAAAUCUUUCAUCAGCAAAACACAUCAGAUAUUAUUUGAAGUUGGAUGAGAAGGACUCUAGAUGUCAGGAACAGAGCCUGGAAAGGAGUCAGACUAUUUACUAUCAGAUCUCUUUCUUUUUUCUUUAAUACUGUGAUUGACUUCCUCUGCUCCUCAGCUCCUGCGCCGGAUGUAAGAGGUAUACCUUUUGCCCUUAGAUCCUAGGCUAAACACACACACACAGCUGAUAGGCUCAGCUUUGUUCAGGAAUCCACAUUUAGAUCUAGCAAUUCGGCUUACGAGGACAGAGUAAUCUAACAGUUAUUUUUCAAUUGUCUUACAAUACAAGGCUUCAUACUUUCAGGUUUCCUCUACAAGUUUGAGGAAAUAGCCAUAGUCUAAAUGCUGAAUUACAAAAAGCAAAACCAAAGUAAAUGACAAAAAUAUAAUUAGAAAAAAAACACUCUACAAAAUAAAGCUUUUGCAAGUAACACAGCUGCUUGACACUGCACAUGCAGUUAAUAAAUAUUUGACCCAGUCAUGCUAUUUGAAUACAUAGGUACAUAUAAAAUAUAUGGAAAAUAUAAUUUUAAAAACUUUAUUUUGGUAUAAAAUUUUUUAUAUCCAUGUGUACUACACAUUUUUGAAUAUCCUUUGUAUGGAUGGAUUUCAAAUUUUUUUGCACCAAAAUAAACAUAUUUAAAUCCAUUUUCAAUGAACUUUUUGAAGAACUCUUCUAUAUAUACAGCCACACAUAGACACACACACACAAAUGGACAUAUUGUAAUUUAUGUUGUUUGUUUUUAAAUAUUUCAUAAAAAUAAGAACAUGAUAAAUGCCUAUUAAGUAUCUACAGUGUUCCAGGGAGUGUUCAAAGCUUCUAGAGAAAAAAAGAGCCACUUAUGUUUAUUUCUGUUGAGGAGUAAUACCUUCCUAUUAUUUUGUAUAUUUAAAUGUAGAUGGGUGGACAGACAGCUUAGUACCUCUUUGCAGAAAGCGUUUUGGGUAGUAUAUGUGACUCUGUACUUACACUUUUACACAUUAUGCGCUUGCAUAGGCAGUCCUUUUCACAUUAAUAUCCUCUAUGAAAGUUAAGUCAAGGGGCCGGCGGCAUGGCAUAGUGAGUAAAGCUGACAUCUAUAGUGCCGGCAUCCCAUAUUGGCCGAGGUUCGAGUCCUGGCCAUUCCACUUGUGAUCCAACUCUCUGCUAUGGCCUGGGAAAGCAGUAGAUGAUGGCCCAAGUCCUUGGUCCCCUGCACCCAUAUUGGAGACCUAGAAAAAGCUCCUGGCCCCAAGCUUGGGAUCGGCCAAGCUCCGGCCAUUGCGGCUAUUUGAGGAAUAAAUCAGCACAUGGAAGACCUCUCUCUCUCUCUCUCUCUCUCUCUCUCUCUGCCUCUGCUUCUGCCUUUAAAAUAAAUAAGUUAGUCUUUUAAAAAAAAUUUUAAGAAAGUCAAGCAAGAAUGAUGAGAGGGCCUGGCGCUGUGGCAUAGUGGGUAAAUCCGCCGCCUGCACUGCCGGCAUCCCAUAUGAGCUCCAGUUCGAGUCCCGGCUGCUCUACUUCUGAUCCAGCUCUGUGCUGUGGCCUGGGAAAGUAGUGGAAGAUGACCUAAGUCCUUUUGUCCCUGCACCCGUGUGGGCAACCUGGAGGAAGCUCCUGGCUCCUGGCUUUGGAUCAGUGCAGCUCAAGCCAUUGCAGCAAUUUGGGGAGUAAACCAGCAGAUGGAAGACCUCUCACUUUUUCUCUCUGCCUAAGACUCUCUGUAACUCCUUGUCUUUCAAAUAAAUAAAUAAAUUGCUAAA